UACAGAGGUCUCAAGCGUUGUUCGGAUUCAUUGGGCGUAAAGGGUGCGUAGGUGGCGCUGUAAGUCGGGUGUGAAAUUUCGGAGCUUAACUCCGAAACUGCAUUCGAUACUGCGGUGCUUUGAGGACUGGAGAGGAGACUGGAAUUUAUGGUGUAGCAGUGAAAUGCGUAGAGAUCAUGAGGAAGACCAGUGGCGAAGGCGGGUCUCUGGACAGUUCCUGACACUGAGACACGAAGGCCAGGGGAGCAAACGGGG
rnacentral:rRNA from 1 species